rnacentral:lncRNA from 1 species
AAGAAUUGUUAAAUUCCUUUUCACAACAAAUCAUACCCACCAUGUCUACCUUAUUAUUCACAUGGGACGGCUUUUGGCUGGUGUAUGGUACGUUCGGAUUUUGUACAACGAUGCUACCCUCGUCAAUAAGCUCCUGAAUUGCUUUCUUCAGCUUCCAGCACUUUUCCGUGUCUUGCCCCUGAGCAUCUGAGAAAUAUGCACACUUUAGAGAAAAAUCACUUUUCAGAGGGUUUGGAAUUUUUAUCUGAAUCGGCUUCAGCAUGACCACUUUCUUCAACUUCUGGAACACACUGGCAUAUGAUUCUUCAAUAGGGGUGAGAGCCCUUUCUCGUUUCAGCAACCUCUCAUUCUUACACGCUAGAUUUGGCCUAAAACCUAAUCUAGGGGGUUUCUGGUAUGCUCGUGGGGGUGGAUAGGCUUUUUGUGGAGCAGGGUACUUGGAGAGUGAGGUAUGUCUUUGAGAUCCCUCUGGAGAAAAUUAAUGUUGGGGAGGGUCAUCCAGUGCACGAGGAUAUUCAUGGGUACGAUGUCGAGGUUGGAAAUGUUGAUCAGGAGAGUUAUUUGGAUCAUUCUUUCUGUUUCUCUUUCUCCCUUCCGAGCUUAACGAGAUGUCUUGAAUGUCUUUCGAGCAACUCAUUAUUUUUCCCGACUUGAUUCCCUAUUCUAAGAACUCCCCUAUUCUUAACAGAUCAUCGAAAGGUCUGACCACGGUCGGGAUCAAAUAAUUGAAGUAAGUGGGCCCCUGGGCCUGUAUGAAAAUUUCAACCAUCUCUUCUUCACCAAUCGAGGUAUUGAGUCGAGCAGCUUGUUCUUUUCAUCUGAGCCCAAACUCUCCUAUGCUCUCUCCUAGUCUCCUUUCCAUUCUAGAUAAGGAGGAAUGGUUUGGGACAAAGUCUUUAUUGUACUGAAAAUGUCGCACAAAAUCUUGAGCGAUGUCGCCCAGCGUGUACCACUUCCUCAUAUCUUGACGAUCAUGCCAUUCCAAGGCUUCCCCAGUCAGGCUUUCACUAAAAUGCGACAUCAACAACUCAUCUUCCUUGCCGAAAUUCCUUGUUUUAUUGCAAUAAUCCCUCAAAUGGUCCACUGGAUCUCCCCGCCCAUCAUAUAAAUUAAACUUCGGCAUCUUAAACCCUUUUAGCUUUCUGGAAAUCUCAUUCUGCUCCACUGUUUUAGCAAGCUUCGUAGUAUCACCGGGAGACUUAAAAUGAAGAGCGUGAUGGUAUGGAGUCGAGGCCUUGAAAAUUGGUUCUGGAACUUAAUGUUGGGCAUCUGGGACUGAUGGCGGAGGAUACCCACUGGUCCAAGCUUUUUGCGUUCCGACUAUCUGUCUUUUCAACCUCAAAACCUCUUCUUUCAACUCAGAUUCUGAUUCAAC